GCGGAAGUGGCGGAAUUGGUAGACGCACCAGAUUUAGGUUCUGGCGCCGCAAGGUGUGGGAGGUU
rnacentral:tRNA from 1 species